rnacentral:tRNA from 1 species
CCUGAUUUCUCAGUUGGUAAAGAAUCUGUCUGCAAUGCAGGAGGCCCUGGUUCGGUUCCUGGGUCAGGA